AAAGGUUCCUCCCCUCCGAUUAUCAGGCUAUCAUUUCCCAAUCUUCCAAGCCCUCCACUCUCACCAAUUACUCUUCCAAGAAGGACCUCUACCUCCACCUAUGCCAUAACCCCCUCCUCAUAGACGCUGGUAAAAAGGUAUUACAAAUAAAAUCAUUUUUUCUCUCAAUAAUUAUACACGUAUAUCUUUCAUUAAUUGGAAAAUUAAUUAAUCACCAGAGCUUUGCACUCGAUAAACUGAACGGCAAAAUAUGCUACAUGCUCUCAGCCCGAAGUCUCUCAAUUGUUUGGGGA
rnacentral:lncRNA from 1 species